UACGAGGGGUGCAAGCGUUGCUCGGAAUUAUUGGGCGUAAAGGGCAAGUAGGUGGUCUCAUUUGUCUGGGGUGAAAGCCUUGAGCUUAACUCAAGAAGUGCCCCGGAAACGGUGAGACUCGAGUAUUGGAGAGGGUCGUGGAAUUCCCGGUGUAGCGGUGAAAUGCGUAGAGAUCGGGAGGAACACCAGAGGCGAAGGCGGCGACCUGGGACAAUUACUGACACUCAACUGCGAAAGCGUGGGGAGCAAACAGG
rnacentral:rRNA from 1 species